GGAGAGUUGGCAGAGUGGUCGAAUGCGGCUGACUUGAAAUCAGUUGUACGGGUGACCGUACCGGGGGUUCGAAUCCCUCACUCUCCGCCA
rnacentral:tRNA from 1 species